UACGGAGGGUGCAAGCGUUAUCCGGAUUCACUGGGUUUAAAGGGUGCGUAGGCGGGUAGGUAAGUCAGUGGUGAAAUCUUCGAGCUCAACUCGGAAAUUGCCGUUGAUACUAUUUAUCUUGAAUAUCGUUGAGGUUUGCGGAAUAUGUCAUGUAGCGGUGAAAUGCUUAGAGAUGACAUAGAACACCUAUUGCGAAGGCAGCAGGCUAAACGAACAUUGACGCUGAGGCACGAAAGCGUGGGGAUCAAACAGG
rnacentral:rRNA from 1 species